UACAGAGGGUGCAAGCGUUAAUCGGAAUUACUGGGCGUAAAGGGCGCGUAGGCGGUUGUGCGAGUGUGGUGUGAAAGCCCCGGGCUUAACCUGGGAAGCGCAUCGCAAACGGCAUGACUGGAGUAGAUGAGAGGGUGGCGGAAUUUCCGGUGUAGCGGUGAAAUGCGUAGAGAUCGGAAAGAACACCAACGGCGAAAGCACUCUGCUGGGCCGACACUGACACUGAGAGACGAAAGCUAGGGGAGCGAAUGGG
rnacentral:rRNA from 1 species